rnacentral:misc_RNA from 1 species
GAUGAAGAACGUAGCGAAAUGCGAUAAGUAAUGUGAAUUGCAGAAUUCAGUGAAUCAUCGAAUCUUUGAACGCACAUUGCGCCCGCCAGUAUUCUGGCGGGCAUGCCUGUUCGAGCGUCAUUUCAACCAUCAAGCCCCCGGCUUGUGUUGGGGACCUGCGGCUGCCGCAGGCCCUGAAAAGCAGUGGCGGGCUCGCUGUCACACCGAGCGUAGUAGCAUACAUCUCGCUCUGGGCGUGCUGCGGGUUCCGGCCGUUAAACCACCUUCAUAACCCAAGGUUGACCUCGGAUCAGGUAGGAAGACCCGCUGAACUUAAGCGUAUCAAUAAGCGGAGGA